rnacentral:lncRNA from 1 species
CUCCAAUGAAAAUAGCCUAACAAAAAACACGACUCAUUCGCUCCACAAAGUGCACUUUGAGUGAGUGAGUGGUAGACAAAUUCAUCUAAUAAUUUUAUUCACCAUUCAAAUUGCCCCCUCCAACACCCCCAUUAAAUUGGACUCACUUCCCACAUCGAUUUGCGCAUGCGCAUAAGACUCAAUUGACUAAACAAAGCAGUAGUACCCCCCAGACAAUACGUGAAAAAUGCCCUACCACUCUUACUCCAACCAAAUCUACACAAAAUUUCGGUCCACAUUUGCCUCCCUACUAAUUAACUCAUUCUAAAGUUUUGGACCACUGCACCGCCGUGUGUGGGUUGCGCCACCUUGAUCCUCUGUUUUACGGGCUUUUUGCCCUCUGCUUCCCAUCACGUGAAUCCCGCUUGGCAACUUUUUGUUGGAACUAGUUCUGUUUAGUAUAAAACCAAAAAAGUGAGACAAAAACCUUGGUUUAAAAAAAAAACAGACAGAGUCAAUCAAAAAUUGUGGAAAUCAAGUAGUGAAUUAUGUUUUAUAAUUCAGCACCAAAACAUAACACAAACAAAAUGGUGCAUAGGGAAUAUGUGUUUUGUUUAAACAUGACAAACUUAUCUUUUUGGGAAAACACCAUUUUUUGCUGUGGGUUGCAUUCUCCACAAUGUUUUUCUUCCUCUCUCUCUUCAAUAUUCCCAUACUAAAAUAAUAGCCAUUAAGAAAAAGUUAUUUUCUUG